GAAUUUUCCGCAAUGGGCGAAAGCCUGACGCAGCAACGCCGCGUGGAGGAUGAAGGCCCUCGGGUCGUAAACUCCUGUCAGUGGGGACGAAUGCUUCGAAAGAAGUUUGACUGUACCCGCUAAGGAAGCCACGGCUAACUCCGUGCCAGCAGCCGCGGUAAUACGGAGGUGGCAAGCGUUGUUCGGAAUUACUGGGCGUAAAGGGCGCGUAGGCGGCUUGGCAAGUCAGAUGUGAAAUCCCCGAGCUUAACUUGGGAAUUGCAUCUGAAACUGUCGAGCUUGAGUCCUGGAGGGGAUAGUGGAAUUCCCAGUGUAGCGGUGAAAUGCGUAGAUAUUGGGAGGAACACCUGCGGCGAAGGCGGCUAUCUGGACAGUGACUGACGCUGAGGCGCGAAAGCUAGGGGAGCGAAAGGGAUUAGAUACCCCUGUAGUC
rnacentral:rRNA from 1 species